UACGAAGGGGGCUAGCGUUGUUCGGAAUUACUGGGCGUAAAGCGCGCGCAGGCGGCUAUCCAAGUCAGUGGUGAAAGCCCGGAGCUCAACUCCGGAACUGCCAUUGAAACUGUUUAGCUUGAGUAUGAGAGAGGUGAGUGGAAUUCCCAGUGUAGAGGUGAAAUUCGUAGAUAUUGGGAAGAACACCGGUGGCGAAGGCGGCUCACUGGCUCAUUACUGGACGCUCAGGCGCGACAGCGUGGGGAUCAAACAGG
rnacentral:rRNA from 1 species